rnacentral:rRNA from 1 species
AGAGUUUGAUCCUGGCUCAGAUUGAACGCUGGCGGCAUGCUUUACACAUGCAAGUCGAACGGUAACGCGGGCUUCGGCCUGGCGACGAGUGGCGAACGGGUGAGUAGAACAUCGGAACGUAUCCUGGAGUGGGGGAUAGCCCGGCGAAAGCCGGAUUAAUACCGCAUGAGCUCUGAGGAGGAAAGCGGGGGAACCGUAAGGACCUCGCGCUGUUGGAGCGGCCGAUGCCGGAUUAGCUUGUUGGUGAGGUAAAAGCUCACCAAGGCCGCGAUCCGUAGCUGGUCUGAGAGGAUGAUCAGCCACACUGGAACUGAGACACGGUCCAGACUCCUACGGGAGGCAGCAGUGGGGAAUUUUGGACAAUGGGGGCAACCCUGAUCCAGCCAUGCCGCGUGCGGGAAGAAGGCCUUCGGGUUGUAAACCGCUUUCAUACGGAACGAAAUGGUGCAGGUUAAUACCCUGCAUUGAUGACGGUACCGUAAGAAGAAGCACCGGCUAACUACGUGCCAGCAGCCGCGGUAAUACGUAGGGUGCGAGCGUUAAUCGGAAUUACUGGGCGUAAA